rnacentral:misc_RNA from 1 species
GGAAGUAAAAGUUGUAACAAGGUUUCCGUAGGUGAACCUGCGGAAGGAUCAUUACAGAGUUCAUGCACUAACGGGUAGAUCUCCCACCCUUGAAUUUUUAUACCUUAGUUGCUUUGGCAGGGCGUUGAAACACCAUGGGCUCCGGCUUAUGCGUGCCUGCCAGAGGAAACAAACUCUGUUUUUAGUUAUGUCUGAGUACUAUAUAAUAGUUAAAACUUUCAACAACGGAUCUCUUGGUUCUG